CGGGCUACUACCUGGACAUCAGCCUCUACAAAGAAGUGACUGACUCCAGAUCCGGAAAUAUCAUGUUUCACUCCUUCGGCAACAAGCAAGGGCCCCAGCACGGGAUGCUGAUCAAUACUCCCUACGUCACCAAGGAUCUGCUCCAGGCCAAGCGAUUCCAGGCCCAGUCCCUGGGAACCACCUACAUCUAUGACUUCCCGGAAAUGUUCAGGCAGGCAAGUCCGGCGGCUCAGACACGGUACCCCCUGGGUCCUCCCAGCAGGCUCCACCAGAACCAAAGCCCAUCCUUA
rnacentral:sRNA from 1 species